GCCAAACAAAAGAGAAGCACUUAAUUAGUAAUUAAAUCCUCCAUCUUCUUAAAUUAUAGCAUAAUUAAGCGCGUGACAACAGUAUGUGUAAAGAAAAACAAUUAAAUCCACAUAAAGCAUGUGUAUGAUUUAUGGGCAACAAGCAGCCUUAUAAUACAGAAACACUGUAUAGCAUCCAUAGAAAUAAUUAAUCAGUAGGAACGCCAUGGCUUGCAUUGAAGCUUUGAGCACGAUGACUUCCAUGAGCUUCUGCAUUCACCUUCACCAUCACAACACUUGCACUCAAGCCCUAGGGUGGCAUAGAACUCCUUCGAAUUCACUUGUUUGAGUGACAGUGCUCUGGCUUCUCCACCUGCUGCAGGGUACCGAUCAUGAGACAUGGAAACGAUCAUUAAUAGCAAAACAAAAGCUGCAAGACCCUUAGGCAUAUUAAUUUUUCUAUAUCAAAAUCUCUGAUUAAAAGAAUGAACUCUCUUUGAAUAUAUAUAGUGCUUAUAAAUUAGCUCAGGCAAAGAAAGGAA
rnacentral:misc_RNA from 1 species